AGCAGCCGCGGUAAUUCCAGCUCCAAUAGCGUAUAUUAAAGUUGCUGCAGUUAAAAAGCUCGUAGUUGAAUUUCGGGACCAUCAUGUCGGUCGUGCCUCGGUACGUACUGGCAUUGUUGGUUUCUCCCUUCUGAAGAGCCAUGAUGUCAUUAAUUUGGUGUCUUGGGGAAUCAGGACUGUUACUUUGAAAAAUUGAGUGUUUAAAGCAGGCUCGCGCUUGAAUACAUUAGCAUGGAAUAAUGAAAUAGGACGUUUGAUUCUAUUUUGUUGGUUUCUAGGAUCGACGUAAUGAUUAAUAGGGGUAGUUGGGGGCAUUAGUAUUCAACUGUCAGAGGUGAAAUUCUUGGAUUUUAUUGAAGACUAACUACUGCGAAAGCAUUUGCCAAGGAUGUUUUCAUUUAAUCUAAGACGAAAGUUAGGGGAUCGAAGACGAUCAGAUACCGUCGUAGUCUUAACCAUAAACUAACGCCGACUAGGGAUCGGAUGAUGUUAAUUUUAUGACU
rnacentral:rRNA from 1 species